UACGGGGGGGGCAAGCGUUGUUCGGAAUUACUGGGCGUAAAGGGCGCGUAGGCGGUUGGAUAAGUCAGCUGUGAAAACCACGGGCUUAACUCGUGGCCUGCAGUUGAGACUGUCUGGCUUGAGUGUGGGAGAGGAGAGUGGAAUUCCUGGUGUAGCGGUGAAAUGCGUAGAUAUCAGGAGGAACACCGGUGGCGAAAGCGGCGAGCUGGACACCUUCGUGACGCUGAGGCACGAAAGCUAGGGGAGCGAACGGG
rnacentral:rRNA from 1 species